GAUGAACGCUGGCGGCGUGCCUAAUACAUGCAAGUAGAACGCUGAAGGAGGAGCUUGCUCUUCUGGAUGAGUUGCGAACGGGUGAGUAACGCGUAGGUAACCUGCCUGGUAGCGGGGGAUAACUAUUGGAAACGAUAGCUAAUACCGCAUGACAACAGUUAUUGCAUGAUAACUGUUUAAAAGGGGCAACUGCUCCACUACCAGAUGGACCUGCGUUGUAUUAGCUAGUUGGUGAGGUAACGGCUCACCAAGGCGACGAUACAUAGCCGACCUGAGAGGGUGAUCGGCCACACUGGGACGGAGACACGGCCCAGACUCCUACGGGAGGCAGCAGUAGGGAAUCUUAGGCAAUGGACGGAAGUCUGACCGAGCAACGCCGCGUGAGUGAAGAAGGUUGUCGGAUCGUAAAGCUCUGUUGUAAGAGAAGAACGAGUGUGAGAGUGGAAAGUUCACACUGUGACGGUAUCUUACCAGAAAGGGACGGCUAACUACGUG
rnacentral:rRNA from 1 species